rnacentral:lncRNA from 1 species
GCAUCGAUUUGUGGAUAUAAUGUGUAUUCUGUGAUGAAAUGUGGAUAUUCAUGUGAUACAUAAUCUAUUUUUGUUGAAUAUAUAAUGCAUGUGCCGUUAAUUAUGAAAAAACUAAAAAAACAAAAAACAAUUCCCAGCUUUGCCGAGUGUGGCACUCGGCAAAGGUGACCAUUGCACUCGGCAAAGCUGGGCACAAUGAAGUGGCUCGGCC